GCUUGGAACUAAGCAUAUCAGUAAGCGGAGGAAAAGAAACCAACCGGGAUUGCCCCAGUAACGGCGAGUGAAGCGGCAAGAGCUCAGAUUUGAAAUCUGGCCCCCUCUGGGGGUCCGAGUUGUAAUCUGGAGAGGAUGCUUCGGCCUUGGUGCCGCCCCAGGUUCCCUGGAAAGGGACGUCGUAGAGGGUGAGAACCCCGUACUUGGGCGGAUGCCUCGGCCUUGUGAAGCUCCCUCGGCGAGUCGAGUUGCUUGGGAAUGCAGCUCAAAUUGGGAGGUAAAUUCCUUCUAAAGCUAAAUACCGGCCGGAGACCGAUAGCGCACAAGUAGAGUGAUCGAAAGAUGAAAAGCACUUUGGAAAGAGAGUGAAAAAGCACGUGAAAUUGUUGAAAGGGAAGCGCUUGCAGCCAGACGUGGCCGCCGUCGCUCGGUGGGGCCCCGCGCCCCGCCUACGCUUCGGCGGGCAGGCCAGCGUCAGCUCGGGCGGCCGUAGAAGCGCGUGGGAACGUAGCACCCUCCGGGGUGUGUUAUAGCCCACGCCGGAUGCGGCCCGCCUGGGCUGAGGUCCCGCGCUUUGCGAGGACGCUGGCGUAAUGGUGGUAAGCGGCCCGUCUUGAAACACGGACCAAGGAGUCUUACAUCCGCGCGAGUGUUCGGGCUUUGAACCCCGGGCGCGCAAUGAAAGUGAAUGGAGGUGGGAACCCUUCGGGGUGCACCAUCGACCGAUCCAGAUGUCCUCGGACGGAUUUGAGUAUGAGCGCGGAUGCGGGGACCCGAAAGAUGGUGAACUAUGCCUAAGCAGGGCGAAGCCAGAGGAAACUCUGGUGGAGGCUCGCAGCGGUUCUGACGUGCAAAUCGAUCGUCAAAUUUGGGUAUAGGGGCGAAAGACCAAUCGAACCAUCUAGUAGCUGGUUCCUGCCGAAGUUUCCCCUCAGGGAACC
rnacentral:rRNA from 1 species